AUUGAACGCUGGCGGCAUGCCUUACACAUGCAAGUCGAACGGUAACGCGGGGCAACCUGGCGACGAGUGGCGAACGGGUGAGUAAUAUAUCGGAACGUGCCCAGUAGGGGGGGAUAGCCCGGCGAAAGCCGGAUUAAUACCGCAUACGACCUAUGGGUGAAAGCGGGGGAUCGCAAGACCUCGCGCUAUUGGAGCGGCCG
rnacentral:rRNA from 1 species